rnacentral:rRNA from 1 species
AGUGAACGCUGGCGGUAGGCCUAACACAUGCAAGUCGAACGGCAGCACAGUGAGUGCUUGCUCUUACGGGUGGCGAGUGGCGGACGGGUGAGGAAUACAUCUGACUCUACUUUUUGGUGGGGGAUAACGUAGGGAAACUUACGCUAAUACCGCAUACGACCUACGGGUGAAAGCAGGGGAUCUUCGGACCUUUCGCGAUUGAAUGAGCCGAUGUCGGAUUAGCUAGUUGGCGGGGUAAAGGCCCACCAAGGCGACGAUCCGUAGCUGGACUGAGAGGAUGAUCAGCCACACUGGAACUGAGACACGGUCCAGACUCCUACGGGAGGCAGCAGUGGGGAAUAUUGGACAAUGGGCGCAAGCCUGAUCCAGCCAUACCGCGUGGGUGAAGAAGGCCUUCGGGUUGUAAAGCCCUUUUGUUGGGAAAGAAAAGCAUCAGGUUAAUACCCCGCUGUUCUGACGGUACCCAAAGAAUAAGCACCGGCUAACUACGUG